GCCUUUUCAAACCCUAUGCUUUCACGGUUGCAACUUUUUGUUUUUCCUUUCCUUUUGUUGCACACGGUUUUAAUUUCCUGUCUCCCACGUUUUAGUUCUUUACCCUUCCCCACCUUCUCUGUUCUACGGUUUCACAUUUAAUCAUCGCCAGCCUCUCUCCCUUCUAACGGCAACCUCUCUGUUUUACUUCCUUCCUAUCUUCCUCUCCUUACAAUAUAUAAAUACUAAUAGCAGCUAGACGAUUCAGUUGAGUAUAGGGAUUUUGGAGUAUUCAUGCUUCUGAGGCUGCGCAAGUUGAUGAUGAAGAUACAGCAAUGAUGAACAUUAUCAGGAAUCAACUAUGCUGAUAUAACAAAUUAGCUUUGGCAUCAUUGGCUCCAUCUGACGAAUCAGUACCUAGCAGCUCUAGAAAGAAGAAGUCCAAGUGAUCACUGCCAUGUUCAUGCAAUACAAAAUACACCAUUGUUUCUGCCAGAAAGGUGCUUUUGGAAGGAGAGAAAUGCUAAGAAACAAAGUCUGCAACAACAUUGAAACAGAUGAAAAAUUUUCCUAUUCUCAAGUAAAUCAUGGUCCUCACGAAAGCUUCAAAGUCUAAGAAAGGCAAAUGGAUUGGUGUUUCAUUUUAGUGUAAGAAUUUGAAAAAGUUCCAAUAUGUUCAUGGGCUGUCAAAGUUGAAAAGUGCAUAGGAAGACUACUGCUAUAUUGUUAUCUUUGAGGGUUCUCCCUAUCAAAGUCAUGAGAGAAUUUGUAGAACAAGCUUCUUUAUUUUUUAUUCUAUAUAUAUAUAUAUAUAUAUAUAUAUAUAUAUUUAUUUUGGACUUUAGGUUUCAUGUAAGGUAUUUAUUUUGUCUCAUAGAUGUUUGUUGUACUCUGCUUGGCAUAUUUUUAAAUUGGUACAAACUGUUGAAACAUAAACUAUUAGGACCUAUAAUACUUUUCAAAGUUGCUGUGUCAAGGCCUUAGGCCUUCACUUGGUAUCAAUUUGGUGGGCAGCAGGUGUUUGUUGAAAGUUGAGUAUUGGCACUUGGCAGCUAAGUGGUUUGUAAUGUUGUAAGUGGAACCUAAGUUUAAUCAAGCACCAUGGUCUUCUCUUUUGGUUCUUUGGGCGUCUCUUCAAGUCUUAAUUCUUUGCUGACACGCUCUUGCACUUUUGUUCCUAAGAGUUGGUUUGUCUCUGCCUCUCUUUCUAUAUUGCAUUCUGUAGGAAUUUUGUUUCAUUUUUGAUUUCUCUGUCUCCAUCUAAAUGAUUUUUAGUUUUGAUAUUUGGCUCAAAUAGUUAUGAUUGGUAGGAAUAAUUGUAUUUGGUGAGUGAUUAGUUUGUCAAAUCUUAUUGUCAAAUUAGAGGCAUUUAUAUUUUAUGGUGAUGACCUUAUUAUUUGAAUUUGAGUUUUGAUUCCAAGAGUCAUGUGGAUAAAACAAAGUAUUUGAAGUAGUUGAGGUCUCAAAGGAUAUGCAUGAUUCUAAAGAGAAUUUACCAUCUAUCAAUUUCAAUGUCAAAAUUCUAAACUGCAAGUAUAGGUGCAUAAUCCAAACUCCGUAUGAGUAACAAUGAUUGUAGUUUGUGAACCAAAUAUGCUGUGAGAGAUUGUAAUAGAACUUGAAAUUUCACUUUUAACUUUUAAUUACAAUUGCAUUUUUGGUCCAUUUUAUUGGUUUUUUUUUUUUAACUAUUUCUGUUAAUAAUAUUAUACUCAAUCCAUCUUUAUUUAAUCAUCCUACUGUUUGAGACUUCCUGUUAUAGAAAACACACAAAUUUGAAAUUCAUACUUAAAUUUAAGACCCUUGAUAGGAAAAAAUUAUAUUGGUUUAAUUAAUCAUUAGCUUUUAGCUUUAUUAUUUGAGUUCUUAAAAGAGAAAUAGUAUUUUUCACUACAGUAAAUAGUUUUUUUUCCCUGUGCAUUGCCCGGGUCUGCGUCUAGUAAAGAUAAUUGUGCAUGUAAAACGAAGUAAGCUUUGCCCACUGUUUAAUUUCCCAACUGUUUUUGCGGCGAGAUCAGUUUUUCUUGUGUUGGUACAUAGUGUAAAGAAUAUAGAACUCGGAUAAAUUAUAGUUUUGAUUUGGAAUGGAUUUGACUUACGAGAAUUUACAGGAUUGACUUGGCUGGAGACCAUAGAGAUAUUAAAAGGUCUGGCUUCAGGUUUGGCUUAUAUGCAUCAUUUUCCCAUCAUCCAUGGCGACCUUAAGCCUGAAAAUGUUGUCUUAACUGCGGAGGGAGUUCCAAAAAUAAUAGAUUUUGGUUGUGCUAAUGAGGGCAAUGGUGCAUGUCGACGCAUGUCUAUAGGUUACCUGCCUUUUGAAUCUCUGAGCUGUGGUAAUUUAUCAAUCUCCAGUACUUCUUUGCCAGCAAACAUAUGUUGACUGUUUCAGUUUUUCUAAAACCCAAUCCCCUUGUUAUUUUGGCUUACAUAAUGUUUCCUAAGAUGUCAAUAUGUUAUUUUUCUGCUUCUUCAUUUUUUGCCCUCCAAAAGUUGCAAAUAAUUUUGUCUUUGUUUGCAUAUGCCCUAUGGGCCUGCUUGCCCAAGAGUUUUGGUUAGCAUUGUUUCGCAUUGAGUUAUGAGUUGUUGCCAUUGUGAAGAGAACCCCCACACAUUUCAUGGUUACAAGAAUAAUAUUCCAACUUAUCCUAUUUUAGGCUUUGGGAAUGUCUACUUCUAUAGCAGCCCAACCCUUCAUACCAGAUUUCUUCUUCCAUGUGUAGUUUAGGUGUUCAUUGGCCAGAAGGAAAAUUUGUCAGUUAUGGCUCUAUCUUGAACAAAGGCAUUUUGGUACUGCAAAAUGAUUUCUGCAUGAUCGGCUUGAGUCAAUUAACAAGCACUUUCAUGGCUAACUUAUAAGCUACAUUGCGCAUGCCAAUUGGACGAAAGUCUUAGAGGUUUCUUGGCAACUCCCUUUUGGCUAUCAAGACAAUGUGAGUGUUGUUUAGCUGUUUCAGAAGGAACCCUGUGUAUAAGAGGAUAGAGUUGAUGAGAUUAGAGAGUUACUCGGCAUUUCUCAUGUUUGUUUGUAAAAGAUAGCCGGAGUUCCAUCUGGUCUAGGGACAUUGAGAGGUGACAUUUGUUAAAUGACCGACAGUACUUCCACAGUGAAUCUUUUUGACAGCAAUCCUGUUGUAAAUUUUGUAAGUGCUGGCAAUGAAAGCUUUAUCAAUUUUUGUUCUA